rnacentral:rRNA from 1 species
UGGGGAAUCUUGGACAAUGGGCGCAAGCCUGAUCCAGCCAUGCCGCGUGGAUGAUGAAGGCCUUAGGGUUGUAAAAUCCUUUCGUUGGGGACGAUAAUGACGGUACCCAAAGAAGAAGCUCCGGCUAACUUCGUGCCAGCAGCCGCGGUAAUACGAAGGGGGCUAGCGUUGUUCGGAUUUACUGGGCGUAAAGCGCGUGUAGGCGGACUUGUAAGUUGGGGGUGAAAUCCCGAGGCUCAACCUCGGAACUGCCUCCAAAACUACAAGUCUGGACCUAAGUAGAGGCAAGUGGAAUUGCGAGUGUAGAGGUGAAAUUCGUAGAUAUUCGCAGGAACACCAGUGGCGAAGGCGACUUGCUGGACUUAUGGUGACGCUGAGACGCGAAAGCGUGGGGAGCAAACAGGAUUAGAUACCCGAGUAGUCCCUGAGCGGGCUGGCAAGGCGCAU